UGCUGGAGCGAAUAGAAGUGAGCAUGCAGGCAUGAGUAGCGAUAAUUAAUGUGAGAAUCAUUAACGCCGUAAACCCAAGGUUUCCUACGCGAUGCUCGUCAUCGUAGGGUUAGUCGGGUCCUAAGUCGAGUCCGAAAGGGGUAGACGAUGGCAAAUUGGUUAAUAUUCCAAUACCAACAUUAGUGUGCGAUGGAAGGACGCUUAGGGCUAAGGGGGCUAGCGGAUGGAAGUGCUAGUCUAAGGUCGUAGGAGGUUGUACAGGCAAAUCCGUAUAACAAUACUCCGAGAACUGAAAGGCUUUUUGAAGUCUUCGGAUGGAUAGAAGAACCCCUGAUGCCGUCGAGCCAAGAAAAGUUUCUAAGUUUAGCUAAUGUUGCCCGUACCGUAAACCGACACAGGUGGGUGGGAUGAGUAUUCUAAGGCGCGUGGAAGAACUCUCUUUAAGGAACUCUGCAAAAUAGCACCGUAUCUUCGGUAUAAGGUGUGGUUCGCUUCGUACUAGGAUUUACUCCGAAAGCGAAGAAACUUACAACAAAGAGUCCCUCCCGACUGUUUACCAAAAACACAGCACUCUGCUAACUCGUAAGAGGAUGUAUAGGGUGUGACGCCUGCCCGGUGCUCGAAGGUUAAUUGAUGGGGUUAGCAUUAGCGAAGCUCUUGAUCGAAGCCCGAGUAAACGGCGGCCGUAACUAUAACGGUCCUAAGGUAGCGAAAUUCCUUGUCGGUUAAAUACCGACCUGCAUGAAUGGCGUAACGAGAUGGGAGCUGUCUCAAAGAGGGAUCCAGUGAAAUUGUAGUGGAGGUGAAAAUUCCUCCUACCCGCGGCAAGACGGAAAGACCCCGUGGACCUUUACUACAGCUUGACACUGCUACUUGGAUAAGAAUGUGCAGGAUAGGUGGGAGGCUUUGAGUAUAUGACGCCAGUUGUAUAUGAGCCAUUGUUGAGAUACCACUCUUUCUUAUUUGGGUAGCUAACCAGCUUGAGUUAUCCUCAAGUGGGACAAUGUCUGGUGGGUAGUUUGACUGGGGCGGUCGCCUCCCAAAUAAUAACGGAGGCUUACAAAGGUUGGCUCAGAACGGUUGGAAAUCGUUCGUAGAGUAUAAAGGUAUAAGCCAGCUUAACUGCAAGACAUACAAGUCAAGCAGAGACGAAAGUCGGUCUUAGUGAUCCGGUGGUUCUGUGUGGAAGGGCCAUCGCUCAAAGGAUAAAAGGUACCCCGGGGAUAACAGGCUGAUCUCCCCCAAGAGCUCACAUCGACGGGGAGGUUUGGCACCUCGAUGUCGGCUCAUCGCAUCCUGGGGCUGGAGCAGGUCCCAAGGGUAUGGCUGUUCGCCAUUUAAAGCGGUACGCGAGCUGGGUUCAGAACGUCGUGAGACAGUUCGGUCCCUAUCUGCCGUGGGCGUAAGAAGAUUGAAGAGAUUUGACCCUAGUACGAGAGGACCGGGUUGAACAAACCACUGGUGUAGCUGUUGUUCUGCCAAGAGCAUCGCAGCGUAGCUAAGUUUGGAAAGGAUAAACGCUGAAAGCAUCUAAGCGUGAAGCCAACUCUAAGAUGAAUCUUCUCUAAGCUCUCUAGAAGACUACUAGUUUGAUAGGCUGGGUGUGUAAUGGAUGAAAGUCCUUUAGCUGACCAGUACUAAUAGAGCGUUUGGCUUAUCUUU
rnacentral:rRNA from 1 species